GCCUUCAGUUUAAACCUUCAAAAAUUAUGCUUCUGCCUUUGGGUCAUGUAAGAGAGGGAGAACACUGGCAUUUCUAAGAGAAGAAGCUAAACUGUCAGAAGAUAGUUUUAAAAAGCAUGAAAAUCUUGAAUUUUUAUUUCAGUUUGAAUACCAAUGCUUUGUGCUGUUGCUUUUGGCAAAGCUGUAAAGCAGAGGAGAGAGAAUACUAUUUAUGACAAAUAAUAAAUUAAUAAGGCUCUUCACUAAUGGUAGCCUUGUUUCAGUUAGAUUCCAGAUAAGCCAAGUGCUAGGAUAUGUAUUGUUCCUGUACUACUGAUUCUAAUGCUACUUGUUGGAGUGUGAAACUUUGUAAUCGCCUCUGUCAGCUGACCCUUUGGAAUACAUUUGUUUUUCGCCAACCCACCCCAAGGUUGGGAGGUAAAGGAAUAAGAUGUUCACUGUUUGAAACACAGUUGAAAAGAUACCUUUCUGUUGUUCAUUAUUUAUAGCCAGCAAAUGCAAGAGAAAUAACAGGUGAUAAAUUAGUUGUGUAUUUUUAAUGCUGAUAUGUUGUGAUAUUUCUUUAGUAAAAACUAAUUAGCAUGUAAGACUGAACAGUACGUUAAGUAAUGACAUAAACAAUCAAGCAGAAAUGUUAAAUGUUAAGUAUGAUUUCUGAUGCUUCUGACAGUUCUCAUCUGAACUUUCUUCAUAGCUGUCAAAGGAUGCUAGAAAUAAUAUCAUCUUUGGCAAAUGGGGCGUUUUAAGGGUUAUGUUGUAAACAUAGUUCUCUUUGCUUUGAUUUUUGAGACAAGAGCAACUGGGCAAAUAUUGCAUGCCAUUGUGAAGGCUUGGUCAAUUAUUCUUUUCCUAAACACAGUUGAAAUUCAGAAUCUUGAUUGCAAUAUUCAGAAAUGAGAUUUUUUUUUAUGGUUGGACAGUACUGAAGCAGAAAACGAGACCCUAGGGGAUUUUUUCAAGCCAAAAAGUAAAGUUGCCAGUGAUUACAGGCACUUCCGAAGGUGUGAAGCUGCUGAGUAUGAUAACUUUAUCAAAACUAUGGAUUAAGUUGUUUAGGUACUUUAUUGUUCUUUUUCUUACUUUUCUUUAAACAUGUUAGUAUUCUGUUUCAUUACAAAACAAUAUUGAGAUAGAUGCUCUCAAAACAGCUUUAGACAAUAUGUGAAAUGUGAAAAAAAAAGGUAUGAAUUAUUAGGUUUAAUUAUUACUUUACAGUUGGCUGAGUAAUGUACUUUGGAAAAAAAGUAUUGUUAGAGAUCUAACAUGUACAUACUCUCAGAAAAUAUGGGAGUGCAAAAAAUGCAAGUGGUUUUUAUUAUGAUC
rnacentral:lncRNA from 1 species